CUGUCGGCCUCCAUGGCGUUCGUCACCGUCGCCAUCGGACUCGUCACCGUCCAUUGGCUCUACAGCAAAGAGAAAAUGUCCAACCCGAAAUUCAACCGAACCGGAGAUCCCGAACUCGAGUACCUCUCCAAAUUCACAGUCAGCGGACUCUGGACUCUUUGCUACACCAAUCCUGGAGAGACGGAACGCUACUGUUUAAACAUCGAUUAUUUCCCAACGGAAGAGUACAGUCCCGAUCCCAAUGACUCGACACUCUCAAUCCCUUAUGCGGUCUUGAGGUCGGCUCCGUUCUUUUUCAUGGCCACUGUUGGUCGUCGGAGAGAUUUUCUGUUUCCUCGGCCACUUUGCACCUAGGAGACGCUAUUGCACUUUUCUAUCCGGCGUCAAUUUGAUCCUUUCCGGAUUGUUACUUUUACUCGGUCUGGUUGUUUACGUCUCGGUUUUCACGGCUGAAAUCGGAAGUAAAUUAAGGCCCAGCUCAUCAUUACAACCGCCAAUGUUCACCUACACCUACGGCUACAGUUUCCAUUUGGUAGUCAUCGGUUUCUUAGCUGGCAAGGUA